GACGAACGCUGGCGGCGUGCUUAACACAUGCAAGUCGAACGGAAAGGCCCUGCUUUUGUGGGGUGCUCGAGUGGCGAACGGGUGAGUAACACGUGAGUAACCUGCCCUUGACUUUGGGAUAACUUCAGGAAACUGGGGUUAAUACCGGAUAGGAGCUCCUGCUGCAUGGUGGGGGUUGGAAAGUUUCGGCGGUUGGGGAUGGACUCGCGGCUUAUCAGCUUGUUGGUGGGGUAGUGGCUUACCAAGGCUUUGACGGGUAGCCGGCCUGAGAGGGUGACCGGCCACAUUGGGACUGAGAUACGGACCAGACUCCUACGGGAGGCAGCAGUGGGGAAUAUUGCACAAUGGGCGGAAGCCUGAUGCAGCAACGCCGCGUGCGGGAUGACGGCCUUCGGGUUGUAAACCGCUUUCGCCUGUGACGAAGCGUGAGUGACGGUAAUGGGUAAAGAAGCACCGGCUAACUACGUG
rnacentral:rRNA from 1 species